CCUACGGGAGGCAGCAGUGAGGAAUAUUGGUCAAUGGACGCAAGUCUGAACCAGCCAUGCCGCGUGCAGGAAGACGGCUCUAUGAGUUGUAAACUGCUUUUGUACGAGGGUAAACGCAGAUACGCGUAUCUGUCUGAAAGUAUCGUACGAAUAAGGAUCGGCUAACUCCGUGCCAGCAGCCGCGGUAAUACGGAGGAUUCAAGCGUUAUCCGGAUUUAUUGGGUUGAAAGGGUGCGUAGGCGGUCGGAUAAGUUAGAGGUGAAAUCCCGAGGCUCAACUUCGGAAUUGCCUCUGAUACUGUUCGACUAGAGAGUAGUUGCGGUAGGCGGAAUGUAUGGUGUAGCGGUGAAAUGCUUAGAGAUCAUACAGAACACCGAUUGCGAAGGCAGCUUACCAAGCUACUUCUGACGUUGAGGCACGAAAGUGUGGGGAGCAAACAGGAUUAGAUACCCCUGUAGUC
rnacentral:rRNA from 1 species